UACGUAGGGUGCAAGCGUUGUCCGGAAUUAUUGGGCGUAAAGAGCUCGUAGGCGGUCUGUCGCGUCGGCUGUGAAAUCCCGAGGCUCAACCUCGGGUCUGCAGUCGAUACGGGCAAACUGGAGUACUGCAGGGGAGACUGGAAUUCCUGGUGUAGCGGUGAAAUGCGCAGAUAUCAGGAGGAACACCGGUGGCGAAGGCGGUUCUCUGGGCAUGUCCUGACGCUGAGGAGCGGAAAGUGUGGGGAGCGAAACAGG
rnacentral:rRNA from 1 species